UACUCCCGCCGGCGACCGCGCACGGGUGAGUAACACGUAUGAAACCUGCCCGUAGCAGGGGGAUAAGCGGAAGAAAUUCCGUCUAAUACCGCGUAACAACCCGAGGAGGCAUCUCCUCGGGUUUAAAGGAAGCGAUUCCGGCUACGGAUGGUCAUGCGUCGCAUUAGCUAGUUGGCGGGGUAACGGCCCACCAAGGCGACGAUGCGUAGGGGUUCUGAGAGGAAGGUCCCCCCACACUGGUACUGAGACACGGACCAGACUCCUACGGGAGGCAGCAG
rnacentral:rRNA from 1 species